rnacentral:rRNA from 1 species
UCAGCUCGUGUCGUGAGAUGUAGGGUUAAGUCCCGCAACGAGCGCAACCCUUGUCUUUAAUUGCCAUCAUUGAGUUUGGGCACUUUAAAGAGACUGCCGGUGUUAAACCGGAGGAAGGUGGGAUGACGGCAAGUCCUCAUGGCCUUUAUGCCCAGGGCUACACACGUGCUACAAUGGGUGGUACAAAGAGCAGCCAGCUCGCGAGAGUGAGCAAAUCUCAAAAAGCCGUCCUCAGUUCGGAUUGGAGUCUGCAACUCGACUCCAUGAAGUUGGAAUCGCUAGUAAUCGCGGAUCAGCAUGCCGCGGUGAAUACGUUCCCGGGCCUU